rnacentral:misc_RNA from 1 species
UACAGAGGUCCCGAGCGUUGUUCGGAUUCACUGGGCGUAAAGGGUGCGCAGGUGGCCAGGCAAGUCGGAUGUGAAAGCUCCGGGCUCAACCCGGAAAUGGCAUUGGAAACUGCUUGGCUUGAGGUUUGGAGGGGGGACUGGAAUUCUCGGUGUAGCAGUGAAAUGCGUAGAUAUCGAGAGGAACACCAGUGGCGAAGGCGAGUCCCUGGACAAGACCUGACACUGAGGCACGAAAGCUAGGGGAGCAAACAGG